rnacentral:rRNA from 1 species
AUGUUGCAAACUGGGGUCAUUGUUCCUAGCUCCAGUCCGUUUGCCUCACCUAUUAUUAUGGUCAAGAAAAAAGACGGCUCGUGGCGGUUGUGUGUGGAUUAUCGUCAUCUUAAUUUGUUAACACUCAAGUCCAAAUACCCGCUCCCAGUGAUCGAUGAGCUUUUGGAUGAGCUCACUGGGGCGUCCUGGUUUUCGAAGCUGGACCUUCGUGCCGGAUAUCAUCAGAUCAGGCUUGCGCCGGGUGAGGAGUAUAAGACAGCUUUUCACACACACAACGGUCAUUAUGAAUUCACAGUCUUGGCAUUUGGACUGACUAGAGGGCCAUGUACAUUCCAAUCUGUUAUGAAUGAUGAUUUAGCUCCAGUGCUUCGUGAACCAAAUAAAUGUGUUGUGGUGUUCUUCGAUGAUAUCCUGGUAUUUAGUAUUACAUUGGAGGACCACUUGCAUCAUUUGAAGCAAGUGCUGGACCUGUUGCAGGAGCACCAAUGGAAAAUCAAAGGGUCUAAAUGUGCGUUUGCACAAUGCAGCAUUUCUUAUCUGGGCUAUGUGGUAUCUGAGGAAGGCAUAGCUACUGAGCCUGCUAAGAUUGAGGUGGUAGUCAACUGGCCUGUACCUGCUAAUUUGAAGGAACUUCGUGGUUUUUUGGGGCUAUCUGGCUACUACCGGAAGUUUGUUCGCCACUAUGGUAUGAUCAGCCAGCGCUUGACUCAUCUCCUGCGUAAAAAUAUUCCAUUUGUGUGGUCUUCUGAAGCCCAGUCUGCAUUUGAUCAACUGAAGCGAGCCCUCACAACAGCACCUGUAUUGCCACUCCCUAAUUUUCAGAAACAGUUCGUAAUUGAGACUGACGCUUGUGAUACCGGAGUGGGUGCAGUACUACUUCAGGAUGGCCACCCUCUUGCAUUUGUGAGCAAAGGAUUGGGACUCAGAACCAAGGGUCUGUCUACAUAUGAAAAAGAGUAUAUGGCCGUGCUUCUUGCAGUGGAACGAUGGAGAACUUAUUUACAACAUGCUGAAUUCCUAAUACUUACUGACCAUAUCAGCUUGUCACACCUGGAAGACCAGAGGUUACACACUAGUUGGCAGCAGAAAAUGUUCACAAAAUUGCUUGGACUCCAGUUCAAGAUCAGGUACAAAAAAGGCAUUGACAAUCGUGCCGCGGAUGCAUUAUCUCGCAGACCACACUUAGGGGAGGACCUUCUUGCUAUAUCUUCACACCAGCUAGCUUGGAUACAGGAAAUGUUGGAUGUGUAUCAGGAUAGUGCUGAAGCAAGUGAACUUUUGGUCAAAUUGGCAGUGCAGCGGUCUGAAAAUGAUCCAUGUUCUCUUCGAGAUGGUCUGAUCCGUUACAAAGGUCGAUUAUGGCUUCCUCCUGAUGUGGAUCUGAUUCCUAAAUUACUUGAUGCAUUUCAUACAAGUCCGAUUGGGGGCCACUCAGGUAUCCCUGUCACCUUGCAUAGAUUGAAGCAGUUGUUCUACUGGAAGCACAUGAAAGCUCGAGUGAAGCAAUAUGUUCAGGAGUGCUUGAUUUUUCAGCGUGCGAAACCGGAUCGUAACAAGUACCCAGGCCUCCUCGGACCCUUACCGGUGCCUCGUAAGUUUUGGCAGACGCUCACGAUGGAUUUUGUUGAAGGUUUGCCCCAUUCUGGCCGUUUCAACUGUGUCCUCGUCGUUGUUGACAAACUGUCGAGAUAUAGUCAUUUUAUUGGUCUCCAACAUCCCUUUACUGUGUCCACAGUGACGGCAGCCUUCAUGGACAAUAUACACAAACUGCAUGGGAUGCCCGAGUCCAUUGUCACUGACCGUGAUUGGAUUUUUACUAGCAGGUUUUGGAAAGAAAUGGCAGCACUCACUGGUACAAAAUUGCGUAUGAGUUCUUCCCAUCAUCCCCAAACCGAUGGUCAAUUUGAGCGAGUUAACCAAUGUUUGGAGGCUUAUCUGCGAUGUUUUACUCAUGCUUGCCCACUGAAGUGGGCUCAAUGGUUGUCACUUGCUGAGUACUGGUACAACACGAGUCCUCACUCUGCCUUGCAAGGGAAGUCGCCAUUCGAGGUCCUAUACGGCUAG